rnacentral:rRNA from 1 species
GGGAAACUGCCCGAUGGAGGGGGAUAACUACUGGAAACGGUAGCUAAUACCGCAUAACGUCUUCGGACCAAAGUGGGGGACCUUCGGGCCUCACACCAUCGGAUGUGCCCAGAUGGGAUUAGCUAGUAGGUGGGGUAACGGCUCACCUAGGCGACGAUCCCUAGCUGGUCUGAGAGGAUGACCAGCCACACUGGAACUGAGACACGGUCCAGACUCCUACGGGAGGCAGCAGUGGGGAAUAUUGCACAAUGGGCGCAAGCCUGAUGCAGCCAUGCCGCGUGUAUGAAGAAGGCCUUCGGGUUGUAAAGUACUUUCAGUGGGGAGGAAGGCGAUGCGGUUAAUAACCGCGUCGAUUGACGUUACCCGCAGAAGAAGCACCGGCUAACUCCGUGCCAGCAGCCGCGGUAAUACGGAGGGUGCAAGCGUUAAUCGGAAUUAUUGGGCGUAAAGCGCACGCAGGCGGUCUGUCAAGUCGGAUGUGAAAUCCCCGGGCUUAACCUGGGAACUGCAUUCGAAACUGGCAGGCUUGAGUCUCGUAGAGGGGGGUAGAAUUCCAGGU